rnacentral:rRNA from 1 species
CCUACGGGUGGCAGCAGUGGGGAAUAUUGGGCAAUGGGCGCAAGCCUGACCCAGCAACGCCGCGUGAAGGAAGAAGGCUUUCGGGUUGUAAACUUCUUUUGACAGGGAAGAGCAGAAGACGGUAACUGUAGAAUAAGCCACGGCUAACUACGUGCCAGCCGCCGCGGUAAUUCGUAGGUGGCAAGCGUUGGUCGGAUUUACUGGGUGUAAAGGGCGUGUAGCCGGGCUGACAAGUCAGAUGUGAAAUCCGGGGGCUCAACCCCCGAACUGCCUUUGAAACUGUUGGUCUUGAGUAUCGGAGAGGCAGGCGGAAUUCCUGGUGUAUCGGUGAAAUGCGUAGAUAUUAGGAGGAACACCAGUGGCGAAGGCGGCCUGCUGAACGACAACUGACGGUGAUGCGCGAAAGCGUGGGGAGCAAACAGGAUUAGAUACCCCUGUAGUC